AAGGCAAGAAGGAAUGAAGUAGUUAUCAUACUACACAAGUUACUCAACUUCUCUAACUAAUUUGGUUACAAAGUUAGUUAGAAGUAGUUGUUAGUUAGUUGCUUAGAUUGGUUAGUUAGUUAGACUAGUUAGUUUAACAUUUUGCAAUAUAAAUAAGUGUAAGCACAUUGUGUAAACUCAAGUUUUUUGUUAAUGCAAAUUCUCUUCUUCUUGCUCAAGGUUCACAUUGAGCCUAAGCUUUAGCAUAGAUUUUUCUUGUUCCUUCAACAAUGGUGAUUAAGUUUCUCUUUU
rnacentral:lncRNA from 1 species